CCUACGGGCGGCAGCAGUGAGGAAUAUUGGUCAAUGGACGAGAGUCUGAACCAGCCAAGUAGCGUGAAGGAUGACUGCCCUAUGGGUUGUAAACUUCUUUUAUAUGGGAAUAAAACGUUCCACGUGUGGGAUUUUGUAUGUACCAUAUGAAUAAGGAUCGGCUAACUCCGUGCCAGCAGCCGCGGUAAUACGGAGGAUCCGAGCGUUAUCCGGGUUUAUUGGGUUUAAAGGGAGCGUAGGUGGAUUGUUAAGUCAGUUGUGAAAGUUUGCGGCUCAACCGUAAAAGUGCAGUUGAAACUGGCAGUCUUGAGUACAGUAGAGGUGGGCGGAAUUCGUGGUGUAGCGGUGAAAUGCUUAGAUAUCACGAAGAACUCCGAUUGCGAAGGCAGUUCACUGGACUGCAACUGACACUGAGGCUCGAAAGUGUGGGUAUCAAACAGGAUUAGAUACCCGAGUAGUC
rnacentral:rRNA from 1 species